ACGAAUGCUUCUGCCGCCCUUUGUUCCUGAAACUGUGUCGUGGGCCCGUUGGCCGUUUGCUAUCGUUUGGUGCGCGUUACCGCACGUAUUGUGCUGCUUGUCAGCUUGUGCCAGUUUGCAGACUUCUUGACGUCUAGUUUUCACUGCGCAUACGCGAACGUGCGCCUGCAUUCCUUGCAACAAGAACCCCGAUAGGACGAACACGCAUCGUAGUUGCGUAGAAGCUCCGUCGUUGUCGAAAACUCGGCUGCCAUUUGAAAUUGACGCGUAGGAGCUAAGAGGGCAAACGGCAAUGGCAACUCCUUCGGACGCAACGUCGGCGCCAGGGAAUGCGUACACGCUUGUGGGAUUCGGUGCUGCGUUGGACUGGAGGAAAACAUGGUUUGUGGAGCCGUUACCGAACAGCGCAACAUGCUCGUUCUGUUCCAUCGCCUGCCCCGGUCUCUAUUUGCUGCCCUGCGUACACUUGGCCUGCUGGCGUUGCUAUGAAGGAUUGCGCAGGAUGGGACCGAUGUGUGCCCUGGAUCGAAACAAGUUUUUGCCGACUGAGAAGACCUGGAUCACGCUUUCUUUUGACAGUAUGAAGCAAAGGAAGAUUCAUUGCUGGAAUGCAUCGAAUGGUUGCAAGGCUGCUGGACCCAUGUGCCAGAUUCUCAGGCACUUCCGCUCACAGUGCGGUUACCAUUCUGUCUCCUGUCCUGGGUGUGGGCUGGCCAUGGCACACAGCAGUGUCACCGACCAUCUGAAGCUCCAUUGUCGUCGUGGGGGCGUACAGCAUAAUCACAGCAUUGUCCCGAGACACCACCCAGUCUGUCCAGAGACUGCAAACGAAGUGUCACAACAGAAAACUGCCGCAAGUGUACCGGAUGCUGCCCAAACUUUGAAUGGCCCGCAACAUGUUCGAGACUCGGAGAAUGUGAAUUCAAGCACAUCUUUGCCCGUCGUGGGGCCCAGUACAGCAACUGAGCCCUGUGAAUCUACAUUUCCUACAAAUCUACAGCUUACGAAGCAAGGUCCAGUUCAGCUCCCACAGGCAGAACAUGUUCCUGAACAGACACCAACAUUGUCAAACGUAGACAAAGAAAACGGUGCGUGUGCCGUUCAAUUGAAUGAGUUGCCACAAAAAAGAGCCCGUCCAUGGCAAUUCUGCUCAGGCCAGUCAUCUCGUAGGAAGCGAACCAGAAAUGUUCCAGCUUCAACACGACAGCUGAGAGCACGGAAACAAAAAUGAAUCCGCAAGAACCUACGCUGGUGUGAGUAUAUCCACUUCUGCAGUAUUACCUGCAGAAGUGCAAGUACUCAGAACAGCCUAGUUUUUUGCCAAGCGAUGUGUCUGUAGGGGCAAAGUACAUCCUGGAAAGCUUUAUGUUUCACUGCAGUUGGGGUACCAGCAUUGCCUCUGCUGAAUAUUCAUAGAAUGGUUUUAUUGGAGUCUUGAUCACCUACAUAUUGAAUCAAACACUUGCAUCUCGAUUUUCAGUUUCAUAGGAGUGUGCUUUAGCUAGAAAAGUGAUAUAUAGUUCGCACGAUAGCUCUGAUCGAAAUGUAUAUUUGAAACAUGAAAUACCUCUUCUGUCCUAAAUUGACAGCAGUAUCAGAUAUCAAAAUUUAUGUACCAUUUUGCUUAUUACCAAAACUUCACUAGGUACCUCUUCAAUAUUGGCUUCAGGUGGUAUGCACCUUCAGAUUGGAAUCACACAGUAUAAAAAGAUAACAUUUUAUUGGUACCUUUCUGGGCCACCAGUUUUAAGAAACAAAGUUUUCACUGAUAUAUAUUUGCUUUUUGAGUUAACAUUUAAUUUUAUUUUCCAACAGCACAGAAAGGGUCAGUGCAACAGCAAUUCAUUUCAUGGCAGAUUUUUGGUAGACUCAAGACAAAAAUUGUUAUGCUUUAGGUAGCAGCCAACUUCAAUUGUGGCAUGGAAAAUUUUUAUUAUUGAAGUAUGUUAUUAAAUUCUAUAAAAUAAUUGUAAUGCCAUGUAUUAGAAUAUUUUGAUUGCUUGGGCAGAGAGCAUUGAGGAAGCAGUAAAUUAUCCUAAGUAUUCUGAAGCAGUCAUCACAAAGGCACAUGGUACAACCAUGUAUAGCUCACAUUCCUUUCUGAUGGAGCAUAUGGUAUUCUCACCUGGUUUAUGAUGCUGAUUGCCUCACUCACCACUAGAUAAGUUUGGUGUAUAAUCUUCACGUGAUGUGAAAUAUUUUGUUCAUAAGAUUUGGUGUAAAAUUAAUUGUUCAGUUUCGUUUUUUUGCAGGUGCUCAAAGUGUUUAUUUAAUAAAUUGCGUGAUGUUUAUUUAGCAUUGAAAGUUUUCACUUCUGUUUUGAAUGUGUGAUUACAAGUUAGAUUCUUCACUAAAAGAGCUCUUGCAGAAAUUAUUGUUAAUUGUAGUUAAUAACUGAAAACUACCUCACCACUCUCUUACGUCAUUUGUGUUUGGAGUAAGAGACAAGCCUAUUAUAUUUCUCAUAAUAAUGUAUACCUUGUUCAUGCAUAACUCUGUAUGAUGUUUCUGCCUAAACUGAAAUCAUUGUUUAUGUAACAUGUAUCUAACAUGCUUUCCGGGACAUAGUUACAAAUUACUUUAGUAUCAUUGUAUUGGGCUCAUUGACAGAUGGUUUCGAUGUCCACGGUCAUCUCAGCUUUAUCACGUUGCCAUGUUAUCACUAGAAGGCAAAAAGAAGCCUGGCAUUUUUUUUCUUCAUUAUGUGCAUUUAUUUUCCACAAAGCUUAUGUCCUUCAAACGUGUUGGAAAGUGACCACUUGUUUUAUGCUGCUGCUUAAAUGCUGUGUCAGAAAGAUCUGCGUGACCUUUUCUUUUCUUUAUACUUGUGAGCACUCAGCAGAAAGUUUGUAUGCAGUGUAUUAGUAAUUGGGCUUUAAAGCUUUGAAAAGCCCCUGUAAGUGAUUUUGUUUGAAAUUAGGUGUUGAAUGCAAGGCAUUGAGCUUUGCAAUCCUUUCUUUAUGUUUGUUUGGUUGGUGUGCAGAUUUUUGUGCUGGAAACUAGUUUUUCUUCAUGCACAUAUAGCAGCAGUGAAUUGAUUUAAGGGCUACAUAAAAUACGCUGUUUUUUGGACAUACACAGCUUGCCAGUUAUCUGUCUGAGAACUAGCCAGUUGCCAACAUUUUCGCAUAUAUUGGGACUAAGUACCCAGCGCCAAGACGGCAUAGAUGUCAUGUUUUCAAAGGGUGGGUGAUGAAGCAACUUGCCCAUUUUAUCAGGGAUGGGGCCUGUGGCUAUUACCAUUUUCUAUUAUAUAUUUAUCCUACCACAGUCAUUAGACUGUAAUACACAAUUAGGGCAGUCCCUUGUGGUGACUGUCACUAUAGUGUGUAAUUCUGGUAAUCCAGUCGCUAGACUACUGGAUUUAGGUUGCUUAAAAACUAAUGGUUCCCAAGUUUCAAAAGAAAUAAUGCUUUUGCUGAACAAAGAAUAUCAGAUCUCCAGGGAAAGUGAGCAAAGUUGAAAUGAUCGCAUACAUAUGCCCUACUAGGCUUAACAUAAGAAAUCAACACACAGUAUCAGGUUUGAGGAAGAUGUCUCCAGUGUAUGCAUGGGGUGUGUUGUCAGUUUCCACAUGAACUUCAGCUGCUUCAAAGGUGAGUAUUAGAGAUGUGAGCGUUUGUACUUAUAUAUUUACCAUGCAUACCUUUAGGCUCUCCUUGGAAGAAGCCAUUUUGUAGUUUUUAGUGAUGUCAUUUCAGAGACAAGCAUAUUUACCAACCCAUUGAGGCCAAUGUGCCACUAAAAGCUAUAAAACAGGAAACUGAGUACCAUCACAAUGCUCUGCAAAUACAUAAUUUCAGUACAAUAUGGAAUAAAUGAAGAUACACAUUUUAAAUGAUAUACGGAAUGUUCCUGAACCGGUGUUAUACUGAUACCUCUUGUCGGUCAUGUAACACCUAGCUAUUUUCUUUUGUCCUCCAACUGCUGUUUGCAGCAAUGUGUAAUUUAGUACUCAUACAUGUCUUCAUGGAAUUUCUACUGUUCCUUUGUUUUUUUUCUCUCCACAAUGUGCCAGCUACUUGA